CGGCAGUCGCUGGCAAAUAUUGCUAGAGGAAAGUCCAUGCUCGCACAUUCUGUGAUGAAUGUAGUGUUUGUGCUGGAUGAAAUGAUAAAUCCAGGCAGUGCAAACUGACGGCUGAUGGAAAUCUAAGGUGAAAACUAUGAUGGAAAUCUUUAAAAGUGCCACAGAGACGAGCUUUAUGAGAAAUCAUAAAGGUGGAACGGGUAAACCCCGCAAGCGAGAAACCCAAAUUUGGUAGGGGAAUCUGUCUGAGGUGAAACGAAACCAUCAGAUGGAACAUAGAUUAUCUAUGUAGAUAAAUGGCUGCCACUUCUAUUUGAAGUACAGAACAUGGCUUAU
rnacentral:RNase_P_RNA from 1 species